rnacentral:rRNA from 1 species
CCGUUGCCGGCGACCGGCGCACGGGUGAGUAACACGUAUGCAACCUGCCCGUGGCAGGGGGAUAAGCGGGGGAAACCCCGUCUAAUACCGCGUAACGCGGCCUAGGGACACCCCAAGGCCGCCGAAGGGAGCAAUCCCGGCCACGGAUGGGCAUGCGGCGCAUUAGCUAGUCGGCGGGGUAACGGCCCACCGAGGCGACGAUGCGUAGGGGUUCUGAGAGGAAGGCCCCCCACACUGGUACUGAGACACGGACCAGACUCCUACGGGAGGCAGCAG